GGGCUGGCAUGUUCCAAGGGGGCGACUGAUCCUUGCAAGAUCGGUGGGAGGGUUCGAUUCCCUUUCGGUCCAC
rnacentral:tRNA from 1 species